AGAGUUUGAUCAUGGCUCAGAUUGAACGCUGGCGGCAGGCUUAAGACAUGAGUCGAGCGGAAACGAUGGAAGCUUGCUUCUAGGCGUCGAGCGGCGGACGGGUGAGUAAUGCGCAGGAAUUUGCCCAGCAGUGGGGGAUAGCCCGGAGAAAUCCGGAUCAAUACCGCAUAUACCCUACGGGGGAAAGAGGGCCUCUCCCGGACCUUGCGCUAUUGGAGAAGCCUGCGUCGGAUUAGCUAGUUGGUGGGGUAAAGGCCUACCAAGGCAACGAUCUGUAGCUGGUCUGAGAGGAUGACCAGCCACACUGGAACUGAGACACGGUCCAGACUCCUACGGGAGGCAGCAGUGGGGAAUAUUGGACAAUGGGCGCAAGCCUGAUCCAGCCAUGCCGCGUGUGUGAAGAAGGCUCUAGGGUUGUAAAGCACUUUCAGUAGGGAGGAAAAGUGUACGGUUAAUACCCGUAUGCCGUGACGUUACCUACAGAAGAAGCACCGGCUAACUCCGUGCCAGCAGCCGCGGUAAUACGGAGGUUGCAAGCGUUGUUCGGAAUUACUGGGCGUAAAGGGAGCGUAGGUGGUUAGGUAAGUUGGAUGUGAAAGCCCCGGGCUUAACCUGGGAACUGCAUUCAAAACUGCCUAGCUAGAGUACGAUAGAGGGGGGUAGAAUUUCAGGUGUAGCGGUGAAAUGCGUAGAGAUCUGAAGGAAUACCGGUGGCGAAGGCGGCCCCCUGGAUUGAUACUGACACUGAGGUGCGAAAGCGUGGGUAGCAAACAGGAUUAGAUACCCUGGUAGUCCACGCCGUAAACGAUGUCAACUAGCUGUUGGAGGACUUGAUCCUUUUAGUGACGCAGCUAACGCGUUAAGUUGACCGCCUGGGGAGUACGGCCGCAAGGUUAAAACUCAAAUGAAUUGACGGGGGCCCGCACAAGCGGUGGAGCAUGUGGUUUAAUUCGACGCAACGCGAAGAACCUUACCUACUCUUGACAUCCCCAGAACUUUCCAGAGAUGGAUUGGUGCCUUCGGGAACUGGGUGACAGGUGCUGCAUGGCUGUCGUCAGCUCGUGUCGUGAGAUGUUGGGUUAAGUCCCGUAACGAGCGCAACCCUUGCCCUUAGUUGCCAGCAUUUAGUUGGGCACUUUAGGGGGACUGCCGGUGACAAACCGGAGGAAGGUGGGGACGACGUCAAGUCAUCAUGGCCCUUACGACCAGGGCUACACACGUGCUACAAUGGAGCGUACAAAGGGUCGCGAUCUCGCGAGAGUCAGCUAAUCCCAUAAAACGUUUCGUAGUCCGGAUCGCAGUCUGCAACUCGACUGCGUGAAGUCGGAAUCGCUAGUAAUCGUGAAUCAGAAUGUCACGGUGAAUACGUUCCCGGGCCUUGUACACACCGCCCGUCACACCAUGGGAGUGGAUUGCACCAGAAGUAGUUAGUCUAACCUUCGGGAGGACGAUUACCACGGUGUGGUUCAUGACUGGGGUGAAGUCGUAACAAGGUAGCCGUA
rnacentral:rRNA from 1 species